rnacentral:rRNA from 1 species
AUUGAACGCUGGCGGCAGGCUUAACACAUGCAAGUCGAGCGGGGUGAUGGUGCUUGCACUAUCACUUAGCGGCGGACGGGUGAGUAAUGCUUAGGAAUCUGCCUAUUAGUGGGGGACAACAUCUCGAAAGGGAUGCUAAUACCGCAUACGUCCUACGGGAGAAAGCAGGGAUCACUUGUGACCUUGCGCUAAUAGAUGAGCCUAAGUCGGAUUAGCUAGUUGGUGGGGUAAAGGCCUACCAAGGCGACGAUCUGUAGCGGGUCUGAGAGGAUGAUCCGCCACACUGGGACUGAGACACGGCCCAGACUCCUACGGGAGGCAGCAGUGGGGAAUAUUGGACAAUGGGGGGAACCCUGAUCCAGCCAUGCCGCGUGUGUGAAGAAGGCCUUAUGGUUGUAAAGCACUUUAAGCGAGGAGGAGGCUCUUUUGGUUAAUACCCAAGAUGAGUGGACGUUACCCGCAGAAUAAGCACCGGCUAACUCUGUGCCAGCCGCCGCCGUAA